CCGAAGCAGGCUCUGGGCUCCGAUCUGUCAGCACAGAGCCCGACGCCGGGCUCAAACUCACCAACCGUGAGAUCAUGACCUGAGCCCAAGUCCGACGCUUAACCGACGGAGCCACCCAGACGCAUCUCAAAAGCCUUUAAGAUAUUUAUGACAAUGAUAAACAUGUUUUCGCCAACUGUUUUCACAGGCAUUAUCUCCAUUGCUGCAGAUAACCCUGUAAAGGAGGAGUUAGCAGCUUCCUUUUCUAAAUAACAUAACCACCCAUGUAUAUGGGCUUUAUAUAUACGAGGCGCUUUACACAUAUGAAGUCAUUUUAGUUGCCCAAGCAACAUGAAAAGGAGGCACAACUGUCCACAGCUUGCCGAUGAGGAAAUGCUUAGAGGAACUGACCUGUCCGAGGUCACACACCCAGCAGGUGAUGAGCUGGGGUUCAAGCCUGGCUCUCCCAUCCCCGGGACCCGCAAACUUUGUCUCUAAAGGGCCAGACACUAAAUAUUUUCAGCUUUGCAGGCCUCGUGGUCUGUGUCCCAGCUACUCCACUCAGCCAUUAGGACAAAAAAACCAGACACGGACGAUACAGAACAGACAUGGCUGGGUGUUCCAAUAAAACUUCAUUUACAAAAACAGACAUGAGCUGAAUUGGUCCACAGGCUGCGAUCGGCCCGUGUCUGUUUCAGACUCGAAACCUGCCUUCGGGUUCGGCCCUGGCAACAUUUCUUUCCCACCCUCUCUCCCUACCUGUGCCGCUACUAAGAGUUACGUUUUCGGUCAGAGACCCCUGGCUCUGGAGAGACUGGGUCGGCCUCUCGUUUCUUGAGGGAAUCACAAAGCUCUUGGAAUUUACAACUGCUAGGAAUUAUUAGUGACUGCCAUAACAGAACACGGGGGGGGGGGUGCUUUUAAAAUUGUGAUUUUAGUAGCUGUGACUGGGGAACUUUUGAAGAGGAAAGUGUUAGAGUUUUAGAAAGACACCUCAGCGGGGCACUGUGGCUGUGGAAGGAACUUCUCCUCAGAGAAGAUCGUUUUCUGAAGUCUGUACGACUGGGAAAUAGAAUGAAAAACAUCUUAAGGCACGAGAAGGUGACUGAAAGGAAGACGGCCACUUGUGCGUGCGCAGGGAGAGGGUGCAGGAGAGAGAGAGUUCCUUCUUACCACCCAAAAAUUUAGCAUCUGCCACCACCCCCACCCCACCCCCCGCCACCCCACCCCCGGCAUCCUGAGCAAUCACUCGUGUGCUUUCUUCUCUGUCGAUGCGCCUGUUCUGGACAUUUCCUAUCAAUCACACGCGGCGUGACGCUUUGCGACUGGCUUCUUUCGUUUAGCAUCGCGCUCUCAAGGUCCGUCCACGCGGCAGCACGUGGCAGCACUUCAUUCCUUUUUGUGGCCCAGUGCUGUCCACGUUUUAUUCACCCACCUGCCAGGUGACGGGCAUCUGGAUCGUUCAUACGUUUUGGCUGUUAGGGAUAACGCAGCUUUCCACACGUGCGUGGGUGUGCCCUGUCACGGUCACUUCUCUUCUGCGUUAUACCUACAGGUGGCAUUUUCCAGGUUAUGUGGAAGAUGCGUGGUUAGCCUUUUAAGGAGUAUAUACUCAAAGGAGGGAAAAUGCUGUUAGGAGCACCCCGGGCCCACCAUCCAGGGCCACCAAGUACCAACCUUCGCCAGUUCUGAUUCAUCUGCCUCCCGUCCUGCCCCCCACACCCCCGCCCCGUGACUCUCUGAAGAGUUCCAAAGCCAAUUCAAGCGCUGACUUGAGGUUGCUCCCUUGGCUGAGAGGUCGGCGCUUGUCUUUUGUCCCAGACCAACAGAGCCUCCUACACCCACAUCCUUGUGUGGACGGAAGUGGGGAGAAUGGGCGAACUGGGGCACGGUCCCGAGUGGAUCGACGUGGGGUGGAAAGGAAACAGCUCCUGAGAAAAUCAGGACUGGCUACAUAGUUGGCACAGGGAAAAUGUGGAGCCCUUGGUUCACAAAGUAUUAAGGAGUUCAAGAUGACAACAUCGGAGCAUUAAAGCAAACAUAGGCCUUGUGCAACCGUCCGUGUCACGUCCCCAGGAGGCCAGCGAAAAGGGUGCCCAGGCAGAACGAGUUCAUCAGACACGGGAAGUUAGAGCCUUGGUGCCUAGGAGAGACCUAAGCACCCCUCACCUCCAAGGCUUGGGACGUUUCCAAGGAAAGUUGGGUCUCCCAUGUGGGAGACAGUGGCACGUGGGACAGAGUUCAAGCCUAUUCCAUUGGAAUCUCCAAAAAUAAGAUGACCCCAGUUGACUUGUGGGUUAUGAGUACUUAAAAAAAAAGAAUCAGCCAUUGGCCUUAAGCCUUCCUCCCUAAGAGCCUGCAGUUGUUUUAUUUAAGCCAUGCCAUUUUGUCCUGGACCCUGAGUGUCCCCUGAUCUCACAGCGGGUCACGGGGCUUCAGGCUGAAGAACAGAGGCCCCCUGGUUAGCAAACAGUCCAGCGCAGCGGCAGGACCCGGGAUGCCCUUUCGAGGUAGGUGGCCAUGGCGGACACCGGCGACCCAUCAUGGCGCCCCAAACGCUCUCAGCUCCAAAGAGCUCCACCAAUCAAAUGAACCGGAUUUCCCGCGCUCGCGUCUCAACCUAGGAACGUAUCAGCUUUACUCAAGACCGCGAGAGACUCGAAGCCCCCAAGUGUGUGUUUGGAUGAUGCCCAGCGAGGCCCUCAUGCCACCAGGGCCCUGUCACGGAGGGCAUACGACACGGCUGGGAAGGGGUCCAGGGGACGAGAGAGGGACUCCUUGAAGAAAGAACAGCUAAGGACCUUGCACCUCCUACGGUGGCAUGUGCAGAGGCACAUAGUACUCAUCUGGAUAAUCCAGCAUAAACUCAUCUCCAGAUCCUUGACUUAAACACCUCUUUUGCCACACAAGGUAAUGUUCAUAGGUUCCGGUGACUGGGAGGGUAGACGUAUCCGGUAUCUCUCUGGGACCCACCAUGCAGCCCACCACAGAUUAUUUGCAUUAAGAAGCCAGAGAAGCAAGGAUCCCCACCACUACUCCAUUGGCCUGCCAGAAAUGUAAGCAAAGAGUAUUGCCCUUUUAUAUUGUUCCUGAGGGUGGACAUUAUCUUAUUUAGUUUUUUAAUGUUUGCUUAUUCUUGAGAGAGAGAAAGAGGGCAAGCAGCGGAGGGGCAGCGAGAGAGGGAGAUGCAGAAUCCGAAGCAGGCUCCACGCUCUGAGCUGUCCACGCAGAGCCCGACGUGGGACUUGAACUCACAAACUGCGAGAUCAUGACCUGAGCGGAAGUCUGACGCUUAACUGACUGAGCCACCCAGGCGCCCCUGGACAUCGUUUUAAAUACACUAUGUCAUGUCAUUGCCCCAAAUUGUAAAAAUAAUACCAUGUUCAUGGCAAGAAAAAUAGUACAGAAGAGAAAAAUGUGGGAAAUGAAGGACCCCCUUGGCCAUUUCUCUUUAAUUUUGCUUUCUGAAAAGUAGCCACUGUAUGCAGUUUGCAUAAUCUCCAUACAUUUUCAAGGCACGUUCAAGUGCAUUUUUUUUUUUUUUUUUUUUUUGCUCAUAACGUCAAGAGAGCCGGGGGCGUUCCUAUGUAUCUUGAAGACGUGACAGCCCAGACCCACCCCAUUCUUUCUAAUGACUUCUAGCAUUGCACCAUACAUAACCUGUCCCCUACCGGCCAGCAUUUCACUUAACGGCAGGAUUUCGCCACUAUAACAUACACUCUCUUUGGCACGGGUCUAAGUACACUCCUAGGAUACAUUCCUAGAAGCGGGAUUUCUCAGUCCAGAGCAUAUGUGCAUUUCUCAUUCCGACAGCCUCUGUCCGGUGCCCAUCCACAGCGCAUGCGCGGGGUGCCUGUUUCCGCACCCUCACCCACCCCAUCAAGGGCACAGUCCGUCAGGGGAAGCAAGUCCCAAGUGAGGUACGCGGGCUUCCCACGUGGCCCCAGGUGAGGUGGACGUGGCCCCUGAGCUUUCAGGGAUGAUAACCUGUUCAGAGUUCUCAUCAGCUUGGGUUUUAUAAACAAAGGCAGAGUCUGGGGAGGGGAGCCAGAACCGUGCAGGGAGAAGCGUUGUGCAGCUCAGUAUUUAUUUCUUUAGUGCAGUUAGAACUUAAAUAUGGUCAAAACAUAUUCUUCUUUUAAUUUACACAAACAAAUAUGUUCCCUGGCUGACACCUCCGGUGCCAAGUUUCUAGGAGAAAUGAAAUUCUGCUGUGAGAUUAUAAACCAACCACUCGGGAGAAGAUGGGAACAGAAAAGCCCCUGCAAGUUUGCUUUUCACGUCCAGAACUGGCUGCUGAGAGGUGUCUCUGUGUUCGCUGCAGAUAAGCCCGCCAGUAAUUUUAGCGAAUGAGCCGUGGCACACAUAAAGGCCAGAGGAUGGAAACGCUCCGGGUUUUGAUAAAAAAGCAGUUCUGGCUCGGCUCCCUCCUGCUAGUCGCGCAAAGACCUAUCCGGAGAAGGGCUGAUGAAUUGAGGAACAAGAAACGAGGCCAACGUGAGUCUCCUUUCAAGCGCUGUGCUAAUAUGAAACCAAACAACUUGAAAUUGUUCCAAGAGGGGAUUAAAGCAACAUGUUAUUUUGAGUGAUUGCUUAAUUUAUUGAGCUGCGGCUAGAUCUGUAAUGAAAUACAGCCCUUGCAACUGAUAACGUCCUGUUGCAAUUGAACUUCUACAAUUAAGGAAUAUUUUCCAGGAGGUCCUGUGGAACCGCUUAGAACUUUUCGUCUCGGUGGCGGGGUGCUUCUGAGCGCUCACUUGCACGGCAAGUUUGUUUCGUUUUGUUUUUUUAAAGAGCGACAGGCCGAUGUUAACAAGGAAAAUAAACGGGCAUUUUACUGAA